rnacentral:rRNA from 1 species
UACGUAGGGUGCAAGCGUUGUCCGGAAUUAUUGGGCGUAAAGAGCUCGUAGGCGGUCUGUCGCGUCGGCUGUGAAAACUCGGGGCUCAACUCCGAGCUUGCAGUCGAUACGGGCAGGCUAGAGUUCGGCAGGGGAGACUGGAAUUCCUGGUGUAGCGGUGAAAUGCGCAGAUAUCAGGAGGAACACCUAUUGCGAAGGCAGCUCGCUGGGACGUAACUGACGCUGAGACGCGAAAGCGUGGGGAGCAAACAGG